rnacentral:rRNA from 1 species
UAGCGUAUAUUAAAGUUGUUGCAGUUAAAAAGCUCGUAGUUGGAUUUCUGGCAGGAUGACUUUGCCCUCUGUAGAGUGCGCAAUGCUGUCCUACCAUCCUUCUGUUAACCCUGGAGGCCUUUAACAGCUUGUAGGGGGCUCAGAUAUUUUACCUUGAGAAAAUUAGAGUGUUUCAGGCAGGCUAGCGCCGGAAUACAUUAGCAUGGAAUAAUAGAAUAGGACUUAAGCCUCUUCUGUUGGUCUGAGGGGUGUAAGUAAUGAUUAAUAGGGAUAGUUGGGGGCAUUAGUACUUAACUGUC